UACGUAGGGGGCAAGCGUUGUCCGGAUUUAUUGGGCGUAAAGAGCUUGUAGGCGGUUGGGCAAGUCACGUGUGAAAUCUCCACGCUCAACGUGGAGGCGCCACGUGAGACUGCCCUGACUCGAGUCCGGUAGGGGAGCGUGGAAUUCCCGGUGUAGCGGUGAAAUGCGCAGAGAUCGGGAGGAACACCCGUAGCGAAGGCGGCGCUCUGGGCCGGUACUGACGCUGAGGAGCGAAAGCGUGGGGAGCAAACAGG
rnacentral:rRNA from 1 species